CCUGGGUUCCGAAGCUGUGUGUCCGUCUCCGCCAGCCCCCUUUUGGGGAAGAGCAAUGUCGCGAGGGUUACAAAGUCGACUUUGAACUUUGUGAGGCCCCAAGCUUCCAUAAACCCCAAGCGUGGGGUGAUGACUAAGGCUGUGGAAUAUGAGCUAGAGCAGGAGACAGCGGUCCACGGGGAGGACAGAGAGUGCAAAGCCCUGGGAGGUUGGCCAGGAGAAGGGGGAGCAGGGCCACGAAGCUCACUCCAGCUGUGAUCAGAUACAAACACAGGAGUUGCUAACAGUAAUCCCGCGCACAUUUCCAGACUCAACAGUCAGCCCCUAAGGAGCUGGUCCAAAGGGGCUCUCACAUUGACGCUCUUCCCCGCACGGGGGACGUCUGCGUCGCCGCACGCCUCUCUCGGCACUGGUAUUGGCUAACUUCCGGAUCUUUGGCUCACCUGAUGGGCGCACAUAAUUGGCUGUUUUAAUGUGAGGCUGCACAGCUUUUCUAAUGCUGGCCAGCCAUUUGGAAAUGAAUCCUUCUGCCUGAGACUAUCUUGUUGGAGUCAUUGCCCAUUUCUGCUGGGAUUUUUUCCUUACUGAUGUGGGGGAGUGUAUCACAUGUCCCACAUGUCCCACAUACUUACACUUUGCUUUGUAUACGUGUAAACGGAGCAAAUACGUGU